GUAACACCAUUUUUCUUGUAAGUAGGAGAGGCUAUACUUGUAAUGUAGUUGAAAGAAAUUGUCAUUUAUUUAGGAAGUCUAGGUGUGGUUUUGUAUUUGUUUUUGGACAAGCAUAAUUCUGAGCAAAAACACUACUUUGAUUUGGUAAAAUUUAAUUGGAAACUACUGUUUAUCAUUCGGUUGUAUUUCCAAAAUGUAUUUCUGUAUUUGUUUAUACUGUGUCAUGGAUUACUUUAUUUUUUUUUAGUCCAUGAAAGUGACAGAGAACCAGUUGCAUUUGUUUGGAAUUAAAAAUGUUCCCAUGUAUACUGAUGUAUUCAGUAUUCUGCCUUUUUGUUUUGAAUAAUAAAAUGCGUAUCUUCUGCGU